rnacentral:lncRNA from 1 species
CUCUUGACCUCUUUGAGUGAAGGUCUUCACACAAACCGAAGUUAUGAAACAGUGUGGUUGGAUAGUUUGUCAUUUGUAAAUCAACAUGGCUAGCAAAGCCAUUUUUGUGGUACUUUUGGUUGGAUAUUUCUACGUAUCCGAUACGCACGCAACCACAACAACAGGUCCGACAACCACGGCUCCGAUGACCCCAACAGCAGCUCCAACAACCACAACCGCAGGUCCAAUAACCACAACUCCAACAACCACAACUGCAGGACCAACAACCACAACAGUAGCUCCAACCACCGCGACAUCAGUUCCAACAACCACAACAGCAGUUCCAACAACCACAACAGCAGCUCCUACCACUACAACAGCAGCUCCUACCACUACAACAGCGGCUCCAACAAUCACAACCGCUGUUCCAACAACCACAACAGCAGGUCCAACAACUACAACACCUGCUCCAACCACCACAACAGCUGGUCAAACAACUACAACCGCAGGUCCAACAACCACAACUGCAGGACCAACAACCACAACAGUAGCUCCAAUCACCAUGACAGCAGUUCCAACAACCACUACAGCAGUUCCAACAACCACAACAGCAGCUCCAACAACCACAACAGUAGGUCCCACAACCACAACAGCAGCUCCUACCACUACAACAGCGGCUCCAACAAUCACAACCGCUGUUCCAACAACCACAACAGCAGCUCCAAGUACCACAACAGCAGCUCCAAGUACCACAACUCCAGUUCCAACUACAACAACAGCACCUCCAACAACCACAACUGCAGCUCCAACAACAACAGGCCUGGGUCCACCAACCACAACAGCAGCUCCAACAACCACAACAGUGGCUCCAACAACCCCAGGCCCGGGUCAACCAACCAAAACCGCGGCAACAACACCGACAACUGCUGCACUAACGACAACUGCUGCACCAACAACGACAACUGCUGCACCAUCGACAAUUGCUGCACCAACAACGACAAUUGCUGCAUCAACAACGACAAUUGCUGCAUCAACAAUGACAACUGCAGCACCAACGACAAUAACUGCUGCACCAACAUUGACAACUGCUGCACAAACGACAACUGCUGCACCAACAACGACAACUGCUGCACAAACGACAUCUGCUGCAGCAACAACGACAACCGUGGGUCCAACAACCACAACAGCAGCUCCAAGUACCACAACUGCAGCUCCAACAACAACAGGCCUGGGUCCACCAACCACCAGAGCAGCUCCAAAAACCACAACAGCGGCUCCAACAACCACAACAGCACUUCCACCAACCACAACAGCGGCUCCAACAACCAUAACAGCGGCUCCAACAACCACAACCGCGGCAACAACACCCACAACUGCUGGACCAACGACAACUGCUGGACCAACACUGACAACUGCUGGACCAACGACAACUGCUGGACCAAUGACAACUGCUGCACAAACGACAACUGCUGCACCGACAACGACAAAUGCUGCACCAACGACAAUUGCUGCACCAACAACGACGAUUGCUGCAUCAACAACGACAACUGCAGCACCAACAUUGAAAACUGUUGCACCAAUAACGACAACUGCUGCACCAACACCAACCACUGCAACACCAACGACAACUGCUGCACCAACAACUAGCUCACUCACAACGACAACUGCUGCACCAACGACAACUGUAGCACCAACAACAACAACUGCUGCACCAACGACAACAACUGCUGCACCAACAACAACAACUUCUGCACCAACAACAACUACUGCACCAACAACAACUGCUGUACCAACAACGACAAUUAAUGCACCAACAACGGCAACUUCUGCAACAACGACAAUUGCUGCCCCAACAACGACAACUGCUGCACCAAUAACGACAGCUGCCGCACCAACACCAACCACUGCUAAACCAACGACAACUGCUGCAACAACAACUGCUUCACUAACAACGACAACUGAUGCACCAACGACAACAACUGCUGCGCUAACAACGACAACUGCUGCACCAACAACGACAACUGCUGCACCAACAACAACAACCACUGCACUAACAACAACAACUUCUGCACCAACAACAACUACUGCACCAACAACAACUAGUGCAUUGACCACAACUGCUGCACCUACAACGACAGCUGUUGCACAUACAACAACAACUGCUAUACCAACAACGACAAUUGCUGCACCAACAACGGCAACUGCUGCAACGACAAUGACAACUGCGUCCCCAACGACAAUUGCUGCACCAACAAUGACAACUGCAGCACCAACGACAAUUACUGCUGCACCAACAUUGACAACUGCUGCACAAACGACAACUGCUGCACCAACAACGACAACUGCUGCACUAACAACAACUGCUGCACCAACAAGGACAACCGUGGGUCCAACAACCACAACAGCAGCUCCAAGUACCACAACUCCAGUUCCAACUAAACCAACAGCACCUCCACCAACCACAACUGCAGCUCCAACAACAACAGGCCUGGGUCCACCAACCACCACAGCAGCUCCAACAACCACAACAGCGGCUCCAACAACCACAACAGCACUUCCAACAACCACCACAGCAGCUCCAACAACCACAACAGCUGCUCCAACAACCACAACAGCAGCUCCAACAACUUCAACAGUGGCACCAACAACCAUAACAGCGGCUCCAACAACCACAACCACGGCACCAACACUGACAACUGCUGGACCAACGACAACUGCUGCACAAAUGACAACUGCUGCACCAACAACGACAACUGCUGCACCAACGACAAUUGCUGCAUCAACAACGACAACUGCAGCACCAACGACAAUAACUGCUAAACCAACAACAACUGCUGCACCAACAACUGCUUCACUAACAACGACAACUGUUGCACCUACAACAACUGCUGUACCAACAACGACAAUUCCUGCACCAGCAACGAUAAUUGCUGCAUCAACGACAAUAACUGCUGCACCAACAUUGACAACUGUUGCACCAACGACAACUGCUGCACAAACGACAACUGCUGCACCAACAACGACAACUGCUGCAAAAACGACAACUGCUGCACAAACGACAACUGCUGUACCAACAACGACAAAUGCUGCACAAACAACAACUGCUGCACAAACGGCAACUGCUGCACCAACAAUGACAACUGCUGCACCAACAGCGACAAUAACUGCUGCACCAACAUUGACAACUGCUGCACCAACAUUGACAACUGCUGCACCAACAACGACAACUGCUGCACUAACGACAACUGCUGCACCAACAACGACAACCGUGGGUCCAACUACCACAACAGCAGCUCCAAGUACCACAACUCCAGUUCCAACUACAACAACAGCACCUCCACCAACCACAACUGCAGCUCCAACAACAACAGGCCUGGGUCCACCAACCACCACAGCAGCUCCAACAACCACAACAGCGGCUCCAACAACCACAACAGCACUUCCAACAACCACCACAGCAGCUCCAACAACCACAACAGCUGCUCCAACAACCACAACAGCAGCUCCAACAACUUCAACAGUGGCUCCAACAACCAUAACAGCGGCUCCAACAACCACAACCACGGCACCAACACUGACAACUGCUGGACCAACGACAACUGCUGCACAAAAGACAACUGCUGCACCAACAACGACAAUUGCUGCAUCAACAACGACAACUGCAUCACCAACGACAAUAACUGCUGCACCAACAUUGACAACUGUUGCACGAACGUCAACUGCUGCACAAAUGACAAUUGCUGCACCAACAACGACAACUGCUGCACCAACGACAAUUUCUGCACCAACAACGACAAUUGCUGCACCAACAACGACAAUUGCUGCAUCAACAACGACAACUGCAGCACCAACGACAAUAACUGCUCCACCAACAACAACUGCUGCACCAACAACUGCUUCACUAACAACGACAACUGUUGCACCUACAACAACAACUGCUGUACCAACAACAACAAUUCCUGCACCAGCAACGAUAAUUGCUGCAUCAACAACAAUAAUUGCUGCACCAACAUUGACAACUGUUGCACCAACGACAACUGCUGCACAAACGACAACUGCUGCACCAACAACGACAACUGCUGCAAAAACGACAACUGCUGCACAAACGACAACUGCUGUACCAACAACGACAAAUGCUGCACAAACAACAACUGCUGCACAAACGACAACUGCUGCACCAACAACGACAACUGCUGCACCAACAGCGACAAUAACUGCUGCACCAACAUUGACAACUGUCGCACCAAUAACGACAACUGCUGUACCAACACCAACCACUGCUACACCAAUGACAACUGCUGCACCAACAACUGCUUCACUAACAACGACAACUGCUGCACCAACUACAAUAACUGCUGCACCAACAACGACAACUGCUGCAGGAACAACAACAACAACUACUGCUCUAACAACAACAACUACUGCAUCAACCACAACUGCUGCACCUACAACGACAACUGUUGCACCUACAACAACAACUGCUGCAUCAACAACGACAACUGCAGCACCAACGACAAUAACUGCUGCACCAACAUUGACAACUAUUGCACCAACGACAUCUGCUGCACAAACGACAACUGCAGCUCCAACAACAACAGGCCUGGGUCCACCAACCACAACAGCAGCUCCAUCAACCACAACAGCGGCUCCAACAACCACAGGCCCGGAUCAACCAACCACAACAGCAGCUCCGACAACCACAACAGCUGCUCCAACAACCACAACAGCAGUUCCAACUACCACAACAGUUCCAACUACCACAACAGCAGCUCCAACAACUUCAACAGUGGCACCAACAACCAUAACAGCGGCUCCAACAACCAUAACAGUGGCAACAACACCGACAACUGCUGGAUCACCGACAACUGCUGCACAAACGACAACUGCUGCACCAACCACGACAACUGCUGCACCAACGACAACUGCUGCACAAACGACAACUGCUGCACCAACAACUGCUUCACUAACUACGACAACUGCUGCACCAACGACAACAACUGCUGCACCAACAACGACAACUGCUGCACCAACAACGACAACUGCUGCACCAACAACGACAUUUGUAGCACCAACAACAACAACUGCUGCACCAACGACAACAACUGCUGCACCAACAACGACAACUGCUGCACCAACAACGACAUUUGUAGCACCAACAACAACAACAGCUGCAGCAACAACAACUACUGCACAAACAACAACUACUGCAUCAACCACAACUGCUGCACCUACAACAACAACUUUUUCACCUACAACAACAACUGCUGUACCAACAACGACAAUUGCUGCACAAACAACUGCUGCACCAACGACAACAACAGCUGCACCAACAACAACAACUUCUGCACCAACAACAACUACUGCACAAACAACAACUACUGCAUCAACCACAACUGCUGCACCUACAACAACAACUUUUUCACCUACAACGACAACUGCUGUACCAACAACGACAAAUGCUGCACAAACAACAACUGCUGCACAAACGACAACUGCUGCACCAACAACGACAACUGCUGCACCAACAGCGACAAUAACUGCUGCACCAACAUUGACAACUGUCGCACCAAUAACGACAACUGCUGUACCAACACCAACCACUGCUACACCAAUGACAACUGCUGCACCAACAACUGCUUCACUAACAACGACAACUGCUGCACCAACUACAAUAACUGCUGCACCAACAACGACAACUGCUGCAGGAACAACAACAACAACUACUGCACUAACAACAACAACUACUGCAUCAACCACAACUGCUGCACCUACAACGACAUCUGUUGCACCUACAGCAACAACUGCUGCAUCAACAACGACAACUGCAGCACCAACGACAAUAACUGCUGCACCAACAUUGACAACUAUUGCACCAACGACAUCUGCUGCACAAACGACAACUGCAGCUCCAACAACAACAGGCCUGGGUCCACCAACCACAACAGCAGCUCCAACAACCACAACAGCGGCUCCAACAACCACAGGCCCGGAUCAACCAACCACAACAGCAGCUCCGACAACCACAACAGCUGCUCCAACAACCACAACAGCAGUUCCAACUACCACAACAGUUCCAACUACCACAACAGCAGCUCCAACAACUUCAACAGUGGCACCAACAACCAUAACAGCGGCUCCAACAACCAUAACAGUGGCAACAACACCGACAACUGCUGGAUCACCGACAACUGCUGCACAAACGACAACUGCUGCACCAACCACGACAACUGCUGCACCAACGACAACUGCUGCACAAACGACAACUGCUGCACCAACAACUGCUUCACUAACUACGACAACUGCUGCACCAACGACAACAACUGCUGCACCAACAACGACAACUGCUGCACCAACAACGACAUUUGUAGCACCAACAACAACAACUGCUGCACCAACGACAACUGCUGCACCAACAACAACAACUUCUGCACCAACAACAACUACUGCACAAACAACAACUACUGCAUCAACCACAACUGCUGCACCUACAACAACAACUUUUUCACCUACAACAACAACUGCUGUACCAACAACGACAAUUGCUGCACCAACAACGGCAACUGCUGCACCAACGACAACAACUUCUGCACAAACAACGACAACUGCUGCACCAACGACAACAGCUGCUGCACCAACGACAACAACUGCUGCACCAACAACGAAAACUGCUGCACCAACAACGAAAACUGCUGCACCAACAACAACUACUGCACCAACAACAACAACCGCGGCUCAAACAACUACAAUAGCGGCUCCAAAAACCACAACAGCAGCUUCAACAACCAUAACAUUGGUUCCAACAACCACAACAGCGGCUCCAAAAACCACAGCUGCAGCUCUAAAAACCACAACAUUAGUUCCGACAACCACAACCCCGGGUCCAACAAACACAACCCCAGUUCCAACAACAAAAACAACAGCUCCAACAACCACAACCCUGGCUCCAACAACCACAACCCCGGCUCCAACAACCACUGUGACGAUAAUUCCUCCCGUCUUUUCAACCAUGGCGUAUUUACAAGUCAAGAUGAUUACCUUUGGUGAACUCAGCAACGACACCAUUUCGGGACUUCUUCAAGAGUUCUUCAGAAAUCAGCUCCCGACUGGAACAGCUCAUCUGCUCUCAGUGAAAAGAAUCCAAAGAUUUGCAAUUUAUUAAUAUUAGUUUGGGGUAUUGUGUUUAUAAAUGCACUUAACUUGUGGUUAAAAAAUAUCGAGAAACAUAUUGCUUACACAUUUACAUCAAAAAUGUAUUCCAUGGAAACACACAACUGUAUAUAACAAUUGAAAUAUUCAGAAUUGAAAUGUAAAUCCAAGCAUUUAUCAAAUAGUCAAAUAGUAUCGUCAAAAGACAAAUCAAUGGUCUUGUGAAAUCCUAAUUUCCUAAUAUUUUCUCAGUAAAUCAGUAACUAACUUUAUUAUUGUGAAUGUUUUUUAAUCAAUCUUUCAAAACAUGAUGCUGAUUUUCUUUCGGUUGUCUUUUAUUCUGUUUACAGAUCCAUGUUUUCACAUGACUUGGAUACAGUAAUAUUACUAUAAUUUGUAUUAAAUAAAGUGUUGACCAUCCGGACAUUUAAAUGAUCAUAAAUGCUUUGUCUACCAUAAAAGGUAAAUCACUCAGAGCAACCUUAAUUUAUGGUGUGUACAUUAUAUGCUAUUUUUGGCCAUCAAAGAUCCUCAUGAAACUGUACUGAAUUUAUUGUCUACGAUAAAGCCUUGCUAUUGGUGAACAUUGGUUACGUUGGAUGUAUGUGUCCGUGCGGGCGUGCGUGCGUGCAUCUGUGUGUGUGUUUGUGUUCCUCUUGCAGCCUUAAAGGUUGGGUAUGGGAAUUGCGAAACGCCAGCAGAUUUUGAAAAUACACAACUCAAAUGGCUAGCUAGGUUGGAGUUUAGGGUUGUCUUCUAGUGCUAGGUCCAAAUGUGGAUUAGCUAGUUAGCUAGCUCCAGUAGCUACCGCAAGAUUACAACAAACAGAAGCUUGCUCUGGGUCACAAGCUUUGAGUACGUGCACGUGCACGAAGGGGUCACUCUUCCUCAGUCCAUCUUCGGAAAAAUUGUAGGUUCAUGCUAGAGGUCAGCAACAGUGGCGAAGCUAGACCUUUUUUGGGUGGGCUCAAGCCCACCUGAAACCUGCCUUACUGUGCGUUCACACCAAAAGCUGUAAAGUGUUUUGAGCGAUAAACGGCCAUUCACUUUCUAUUAGACAUGAGAAAUAAAGCGAUAGGAGCGAUUAAAGGAUUGAGCUAUAGCUUUAAAGCUGUAAAGCUGUAAAUGAGAGUUGAAAACAGCUCAACUCUUUGCAAAUGAGCUAGUAGCGUAUCGGCUGUAAAUGACCGCCAGCCAAUCGGAAUGUAGAUCUCUUCUGCCGGCGUGGGUCCCAGUAAACAUACGCGAGAACUUUAUUUCCUACCACACAUUUGUUCCUUCACCAUGAUGCGUGAGAGAUUAAUUGUGGCUAUUGCAGGGCAUCGUAUUUUUCCGCGAUUGCAUAGCCAACGUGGUCUUAUUAUAGCCCGAUCAUUAACUAAAAAACACAAAAAUAAAGCAUCCAGCAUAUGAUUUCAACAAUGUAUGAGGGCAUACGCAAUCCGCAUUGUUAAACAGGGAUGGUCGCACAGUGGAAUGCUGAUUGAAACCAUCGGACGAGCGGUGGAUGGAGGGUGCCAUGCCGUAAUUCCGACGCCUCAUUGUUCCGACGUCUCAAUGGUCCGAAAUAUUUCCCAUUAGAUCGACAUGCCACUAUGCCGACGGUUCAAUGUUCCGAAAACGGAACCCAUUGGUCCGAAGGUCUGUUUGUCCGACUUUUCAAAAAGGAGGCGCAUUAGGCCGACGGUUCAAUAUGCCGAAUAGGCCAAGACGCAAUUCUACCUGUGUGAUUAUGAAACCAAAAAUAAAAGACGAUGUAGGCUAAGUUCCAGCAGUGCACUUCACCAAGCCAGACUGUUGCUGUGGGCUUGAACGGUCACAAGAGGGGAAUUUAUGAAGCGCACGUUAUACAAGGACUAAUACUUUUCCUGUAAAGAAGUCAAACGGUGAGUGAAAAACAAAUAAAAAUGUUUUCCUUAGUAGCUGUGUGUGGGUCUAUAUGUGUUGUUUACUGUGUUUACAGUGGGCUUUUAGCCUAAAUAAUUUCGCUGGUAUUGAUUUAGUCAAACUUAUACCUCAUACUGUGUACUUAGUCAAGUGUGUGUGUGUGUGUGUGUGUGUGUGUGUGUGUGUGUGUGUGUGUGUGUGUGUGUGUGUGUGUGUGUGUGUGUGUGUGUGUGUGAUCACCAAUCUGCAAAUGAUAAAGCCAGUGGUUCUGAUGGAGUCACUUAUUAGACAAUAAAA